rnacentral:lncRNA from 1 species
CUCGUGCGCAGAGAGACCCGAAAAAGAAGGAGACCUUGAAAGGUUCGACUCCAUGACUGAUCUUCCUUUUGAUGAGGUUGGCGCCGAUGCCUUAGAAGGAGCUGCGCAGGGCAAUGUACAACUCAAGAAGCCAGAUCAUUCAUUGCAUAAUAUCAAGAGUUUUAAGUACACAUCUAAGCGGAGCUGAUUUGCCUUGAACUCGUUUUCUCUCUUGCAUAGUUUAUUGUUGAUUACAAGCCAAAGCAGUUGCUGAGCAGCAAAUGGCGGUAUGCGGAAGGAGAGUACAAGAUCUUCAACAGGCAGUCAAGAAAGCUCAUCGAUGGAACUUUAGA